rnacentral:rRNA from 1 species
GAUGAACGCUGGCGGCGUGCCUAAUACAUGCAAGUCGAGCGAACAGACGAGGAGCUUGCUCCCCUGCCGUUAGCGGCGGACGGGUGAGUAACACGUGGAUAACCUACUUAUAAGACUGGGAUAACUUCGGGAAACCGGAGCUAAUACCGGAUCAUAUAUUGAACCGCAUGGUUCAAUAGUUAAAGACGGUUUUGCUGUCACUUAUAGACGGAUCCGCGCCGCAUUAGCUAGUUGGUAAGGUAACGGCUUACCAAGGCAACGAUGCGUAGCCGACCUGAGAGGGUGAUCGGCCACACUGGAACUGAGACACGGUCCAGACUCCUACGGGAGGCAGCAGUAGGGAAUCUUCCGCAAUGGGCGAAAGCCUGACGGAGCAACGCCGCGUGAGUGAUGAAGGUCUUCGGAUCGUAAAACUCUGUUAUUAGGGAAGAACAAAUGUGUAAGUAACUAUGCACGUCUUGACGGUACCUAAUCAGAAAGCCACGGCUAACUACGUG